CUGAUUCCUACCUUCUGACGAACCAUCAUGUCAUUAAUUUGGUGUGGCGGGGAAUCAGGACUGUUACUUUGAAAAAAUUAGAGUGUUUAAAGCAGGCUCGCGCUUGAAUACAUUAGCAUGGAAUAAUGAAAUAGGACGUUGACCCUAUUUUGUUGGUUUCUAGGAUUGACGUAAUGAUUAAUAGGGAUAGUUGGGGGCAUUAGUAUUCAAUUGUCAGAGGUGAAAUUCUUGGAUUUAUUGAAGACUAACUACUGCGAAAGCAUUUGCCAAGGAUGUUUUCAUUAAUCAAGAACGAAAGUUAGGGGAUCGAAGACGAUCAGAUACCGUCGUAGUCUUAACCAUAAACUAUGCCGACUAGGGAUCGGAUGAUGUUAUUUUUAAUGACUCAUUCGGCGCCUUACG
rnacentral:rRNA from 1 species